rnacentral:rRNA from 1 species
CAGUAGCCACGGGAAUACGUAGGUGGCAAGCGUUGUCCGGAUUUAUUGGGCGUAAAGCGAGCGCAGGCGGUUUCUUAAGUCUGAUGUGAAAGCCCCCGGCUCAACCGGGGAGGGUCAUUGGAAACUGGGAAACUUGAGUGCAGAAGAGGAGAGUGGAAUUCCAUGUGUAGCGGUGAAAUGCGUAGAUAUAUGGAGGAACACCAGUGGCGAAGGCGGCUCUCUGGUCUGUAACUGACGCUGAGGCUCGAAAGCGUGGGGAGCGAACAGGAUUAGAUACCCCUGUAGUCCCUGUCUCUUAUAC